GGGAGUAACUAUUGGAAACGAUAGCUAAUACCGCAUAAGAGUAGAUGUUGCAUGACAUUUGCUUAAAGGUGCAAUUGCAUCACUACCAGAUGGACCUGCGUUGUAUUAGCUAGUUGGUGAGGUAACGGCUCACCAAGGCAACGAUACAUAGCCGACCUGAGAGGGUGAUCGGCCACACUGGGACUGAGACACGGCUCAG
rnacentral:rRNA from 1 species